rnacentral:rRNA from 1 species
UACGUAGGGGGCAAGCGUUGUCCGGAAUCAUUGGGCGUAAAGAGCGUGUAGGCGGCUCGCUAAGUCUUGCGUGAAAUCUCGGGGCUCAACCCCGAGCGGUCGUGAGAAACUGGCAGGCUUGAGUGUGGCAGAGGGGGGUGAAAUUCCACGUGUAGCAGUGAAAUGCGUAGAGAUGUGGAGGAACACCGAUGGCGAAGGCAGCCCCCCUGGGCUAACACUGACGCUCAUGCACGAAAGCGUGGGGAGCAAACAGG